UGAACAUCUUCCAAUACUACAAGUCGCUCAAGAAAUUCAGCAUGCCACCUAUGACCAUCUCACACAAAUACUACAUGUCGGUCAAGAAAUUCUGCACGCCACCUAUGAACAUCUCGCACAAAUACUACAAGUCGCUCAAGAAAUUCAGCACGCCACCUAUGAAAAUCUCCCACAAAUACCACAAGUCGUUCAGGAAAUUCAGCACGCCACGUAUGAACAUCUCCCACAAAUACUACAAGUCGUUCAAGAAAUUCAGCACGCCACCUAUGAACAUCUCACAAAUACUACAAGUCACUCAAGAAAUUCAGCACGCCACCUAUGAACAUCUCCCACAAAUAAUACAAGUUGUUCAAGACAUUCAGCACGCCACGUAUGAUCAUCCCCUUGAAAUACUACAAGUCUUCAACAAAUUCAGCACGUCACCUAUGAACAUCUCACAAAUACUAUAAGUCGCUCAAGAAAAUCAGCACUCCAGGUAUUAACAUCUUGCACAAAUACUACAAGUCGCUCAAGCAAUUCAGCGUGUCACCUAUGAACAUCUUGCAUGGUGGCUUGGUGAGUCUGACUUCGGUCUUGACAAGUCGCUCAAGAUAAAAUAAUCGGAUCUAACAGACAGAGCAGGUGCUGAGUGACUCGUCUGUUAACUUGACUGACCUCGAUACGUUGCUCUCGAAUAAUGAGAACCUGACGCACGAGGAACAGUGCUGUCCAACAUUCCCAGUUUUUGGUUGGCGAAUUCACUGUCGGGACUCACACAAUCUCUGCCUAUAAGCAACAAAAACAGGUUUUCAGUAUACAGAUAUGCAACUGGAGUGAUGAUAUGCCCUGAAGAUAUUUAUUAAUUAUACCCCCUGUUAAUUGGGGUAUAAAGGAAUCCCCUUGGACGGACGUCUAUCUGUCUGUCUUUCCAUCUGUCUGUGGGCGUUCACUUAACGAUUCAACGUUCAGCUUUCAAACUUUCAGGACCCCAUGCAGUCACACAUCUGUACACAGCGGACAACAACAGGCUCUCUGGUCAGCUGGGCCCCUACAGGACCCCAUGCAGUCACACAUCUGUACACAGCGGACAACAACGGGCUCUCUGGUCAGCUGGGCCGUUACAGGACCCCAUGCAGUCACACAUCUGUACACAGCGGACAACAACAGGCUCUCUGGUCAGCUGGGCCGUUACAGGACCCCAUGCAGUCACACAUCUGUACACAGCGGACAACAACAGGCUCUCUGGUCAGCUGGGCCUGGACGCCCGGGGACAAAUCCUUGGUAUAGGCCGUGAGCUCUUGGGCCAGGAAUUUGGGGCAAAGCUGAAUGAGUCCUACCCCAAGGGUACAUCCAGUCUAACAAUGGGGCUCCAAACUUCCCUUCUCAGGGGCAGAUAUAACCUCAUCUACAAGGGCCCUAAUCAUCACAAGUUUGGCCCAGCAAAUGAUGUUCCUCAACUGCAACACAGCCACUGCAUCUCAACAGUCCAGAGUAUGGCUACAGCUCCGAAGUACGUGCAAUCUUUACAAUAUCAAGGCCAUUUUCGAAACUUCAAGUCUUCUACCAAAGUUUUAAGUUGAACUCAGUCUCUCUUGCAACAACAGAAGCUGUAGUUGAAGUGUGAAAGAGAGGAAGAGUUGACAUGAAAUUGCUGCUUCAGCCUUCAUUCGAACAUCAUCAGCAGCAGCAACAACAACACUUAAAAUUCAGCAAUCAACAGUUCAAUUGACGAAGGCUUUCACAUGAAAACAUGUCAAUUACCAACGCAUAUGUCCCUGAAAACCUGGCCAAGCUUAUAAACAGUGCUAAUGUGCCAAACGUGACCCUUCAGAGAAAUGGGAUUCCAGGACAAAUGUCAAACCGUUACCAAUCUGGGCUCCAGCAGCAGACUCGGCCGUUGUGGGCAGGUUUAUAAAGCACCCAUGGUCUCAAUGCUCUCUGAACAUCUCAAUCUCUCAGAAGCUUCAGUCGUGGGGGCAGGUUUAUGAUGUACCCAUGGCCUCACUGCUCUCUGAACUGGGUUUGAUUGGUAGAUGGUCAUCUUGUGACAAAGCCCUAACUUAUCAUUGGCUAAGUAACUUUUGCACAAUAUCCAAUUAAUCAUUCUGUAUCUCAUCACACAUGGGAAUUCAGAGGCUGUGUAGCUGAUAUUCUAUUCAGGGUUAUUAACUAACAUUGUGCCCUCAGUUGUGUAAAGUUGUGUGAAUAUCUUUGUUUAAAAAAAGGAGAACGCAUAAAACAUUUGCAUCACUUGUAAUCAAAAAUGUUCGAUGAAGGAACAAUCAUUUUGCAAUAUGACAAAUAUUCCAGAAUAUAUAUGUCUUUUGACGGAUCUUGGUCAGUGUCUAGCAGUAUCCAGGCAAACAAGUCAAGUCAGCAAAGCAGCAAUAAGAGCAGCAGCAGUCAAGCUGAGGGUCGCCCAAAACCACCCAGUGCCUUGCGAUGAAAACCUCCAACGGGACUGUGACCUUGCCCUUGUACUCACCUAAUCAUCAGGUUGAAGGUCACAUGGGCUUAGAUAGAUACUGCAGUAAGAAGAAACCAUGCAAGGUUUUAAAGUAAAGAAGAUGAGUUCACAAUAUGACAUCCGAGACUGCAGGGACAAAAUGAGUGUCCUCACUUCAGCAGUGGAGGCCAAUUUACAAUACGAGAGUUUCCAGCGGCUUACCUUAUCUGAAAACCUGGGUAGCAGAGUAAUUAGUAUAUCCCAGGAGCAUUUUCAGUCAUCUUCUCCAGAUUAUGAGAUCCCCAUGCUCCACAACCCUCAGUCUAUGAACAUCAUGCAGAGCGAACCUUGGGUUAGUUUUCCUUUUUCAUGGCCUUACUUUCAGAGAUUGACGUCCCUUGACGAAAUCAAACCAGCAAAUCAGAAGGAUAGCCUGCUGCUACCGUUGUUAUCAUAUUAACCCCAUACCGAAAAAGCUCAGAGAUAUAAAGGCUGUUUAAGAUGUGCUUGUCUCUACAUACCCCAUGUCUGGUGUGAACAUGUACAAUUGAAUGUCUCUACAUACUCCAUGUCUGGUGUGAACAUGUACAAUUGAAGGUCUCUACAUACUCCAUGUCUGGUGUGAACAUGUACACUUGAAGGUCUCUACAUACUCCAUGUCUGGUGUGAACAUGUACAAUUGAAGGUCUCUACAUACUCCAUGUCUGGUGUGAACAUGUACAAUUGAAGGUCUCUACAUACUCCAUGUCUGGUGUGAACAUGUACAAUUGAAGGUCUCUACAUACCCCAUGUCUGGUGUGAACAUGUACAAUUGAAGGUCUCUACAUACCCCAUGUCUGGUGUGAACAUGUACACUUGAAGGUCUCUACAUACUCCAUGUCUGGUGUGAACAUGUACAAUUGAAGGUCUCUACAUACUCCAUGUCUGAUGUGAACAUGUACAAUUGAAGGUCUCUACAUACCCCAUGUCUGGUGUGAACAUGUACAAUUGAAGGUCUCUACAUACCUCAUGUCUGGUGUGAACAUGUACAAUUGAAUGUCUCAUCUUUGAAAUUGGGACACAUGGAAAAUUAGUGAUUUGAUUCAGACAGAAAUCGCAUAGUGACAAAUCACAACAAAAAAUGGAAAGCCAGAAAGUCUUGUGGCCAGCAAUGUUUUUAUGUGACUUCUAAGUUGUGUUCAAAGAAAAACAAUAGUUCAUGUUUUAUUGGAACUAUGAUGCUGUCAGUCAUUUUAUGUUGAAGGCUUUAAAUAACUAUAUUUAAAUAUAAUAAGAUAAAGAUUUCUUGAUAAAAGCAAUAAUGUCAAAUAGUAUUUUAAGCGCAAAAUUUACAAGUCUAUCCAAUUACUGUGUCUGUAUUAUGACAUUUUAUUUUGGAAAUGUUAAGGAAAAUAUAAUGUUACUAUUAAAUAUAGGUCUAUGAAUGUUGAUUUUAACAUUUGUCAAAGCUGUUUAGAUGAUGCUGGUAACUUUGACAAAAUUUAAAGAAAUGUAUUAUUUUCAUGUAAUGAGAUGCUUCAGUUUUUUUGUGGCUUAACAUGUAAUAUAGAGGUGGUAGUCACAAGAAUUGUUAAGCCAGAUGGAGAAUGUUUAUGCUAUGGCUUUGAUACUCUUAAGUGUGCCCAUUGGUGUCAGAUUUUUAUCAAGAAUAUUUUUUAUUGUCUUACAAUUUCUUGAAAAUAUUGAUUAAUUUCAGACAAAAACAUUUAAUCUUCCUUAAAUUGUCUAUUCUGUAUUUACGACCAGUUAUUUAUUAAUUUGCAUGAAUUAGAUUUAUGAAUGACUUUUGUGUUGCUUAAAAAGCUUUAUUUGUUUUGAAACUGAGUAUUUAAAAACGAAAAUAUGAGGUGUAGGAAUAAUAGCGGAAGUUAUAAUAAUUAUUUUUUUGUUUUUGUAAAGUUUAUUAUGCUUUAUAUGUUUGUGUAUAGGCAUUUAGACGACCAGCUUAAUUUGACCAAUAAUUCGUGAUCACUGUAUAUAUCGGUCAGUACAUUUGUCACUUGUAUAUAGAGCGAUUGCGAAAUGAUCGUAUUGUUAAUGAAAAUCAUGCGUUUAUUACUGCCAUUUUGAUUUUCGCUGUUAACAUGUAUUUGUACAAACAAUUUUCAUCCUGUACAUCUUGUAGAUGCCAGAUAAUAAAAGCAAACAUUGCUUGUGGAGAUGCUCAUUUGACACUUUCUAAAUGAUACAGAACAACACAUUCUGAAGAGGCAAAUAUCCUUUAGACAAUAGGAACAUCUUGUUACUAGUAUAUGUAAUGCUUUUCAUUAAAUAAAGUCAAGCAACUAUUGAAAGAUUGGUUUAACUUUGUUUUGCAUUAUCUUAAGAAAAAUUAAUAUAUUCUACUUGGAAAUCAGUCAAUUGCAAAUCAAGCGAGAGUGAUUUAACAUGCUAACACUUGUCAAUAAUUGAAUUGUCUCUCUUUGUACAUAAAUAUAGGGAUGUUGUUGCUUGAAAAACAAAGUUGUAUCCGUUGUUAGAUAAUGCUUUUGUUCAUCUCUCAACAUAACAAGUACAUUCAUUUGUUCAUCUCUCAACAUAACAAGUACAUUCAUACAGUUAUUAAAAAUAUGACACUCUUAAUUCUCAGCCAUCAGUUUGUAUUGGGAUGUUGUGGAAUACUUACUAAACUAAUAUACGUCUGUUUAAUGAAUGAAUAGCUUUGGUACAAUAUGAUACUCAGUGUUACAAAACAUGUGUAAUAAAAAUAUAAUGUCAUUUAUUUGAAAUCAUAAAAUUUAGUUGUCCAUACAAUGCUUACAGUUUUGCAAUUGCGAUGAUAAAGGAAAUGUUCUGCUCAAAAUGUCUUUUUAAGACAUGUGAAAAUUGUAGCAAUCAUAUUGUACUUGUAUUUAUAUUAUACAUUAUAACAAUUUACUUACAGCUGAUGAUAGCGGCAGUUUACUAUUUGUGUUACAGUUUGUUCCACUCGACCAUCAGACCAUAUUUCCUUAAAAAUGUGAUUGUUAAUAUUGAACUGUAAUUGAAUGCAUGAAACAUGAUUGUUCUGUUGCUUAACAGCUGAAAAUAGCUUGAUGUUUGUAAAACUGUAUGAAAUGUUUCAAAUAAAUCAUUUUGAUUACAUAAAAAAAUAAAAUUACAUUUUGCGUUACUUUGAAUGCAUAACAAACAAUUGUUACCAUACAAUCAUAUUAGUAUUGAACUUAAUUAAUACUUUAACUUUAAGAUGCGAUUUUUACAAUAAUGUGUUAAUAUUUUCAUCCAUUCCAAAUAAGCAUUGUGCAUUCGUAAAUAUAGGGUGUAUAUACACUGCUUAGAUGCCUUUUUUAAAUUGCUUGUGUACGUCAUAUUGAUUAAAGACUCUUAUGUAUUGCAUAUUUGUGUGUGCCAAUGUCUUACUUAUUUCUUCACAGUCCUUAAAUUACUGCAAAUAGUACUUUAAGAAUGUUAAAAUAUUUAUCUUAACCCUUUCAGUGCGGGAACCUAAUUUUGAAGGCCUUUGCAAACAGUUUGAAUCCAGAUGAGACGCCACAGAACGUGGCGUCUCAUCAGGAUCCAAACUGUUUGCUAUUCUGAUAGUUUUCUUUGAAAAAAAUCAAAGAAAAUGCUAAUUUUAGAAAUUCAGCAGAUGACAUUUUAGCAGACGACAAAUUUCCCAACAUGCAAAGGGUUAACUAUAACCAGGUUAUCUGUUAAUUUAAGUUUCAUACAUAAUAUUUAGUGCUAAUAAAUCAGCACUAUUUAUUGAUUUUUUAUAUGGGCACUUCCCAUGACUUUAUUCGUGAAUGUUUCUUUGAAUGUGCGGUAGGGAAAACAUUGUUUGCUUGAAGGUUAGAAACUUAAUGUUGACAUCUUGAAAGAUGGCAGUAAACAUUUAACUGCAGAGUAGCUGGGAAAAAGAUUGCUGUUAAACAAUGUUAAACAGAACUCCAGCAAGAUAUGUCAUGCAUGCGAUAUGCAUGAACUAUCUUUUUAAAAUAAUUUGGAUCUGAAUUAUCUUUAAGAAAUGGUAUGGUUAUGAGGGUCUCUAUGUGCAAAAUGUUGCAUUUAUUUUGUGUACAAGUUAUUGCUUAAACAUUGAAUUUGUUGUGGAAAUAAUAUAGUUUAUGUGACUUAAAGAGAUAUACAUGUUUAUGUUAGUGAUGUGUUUUUGCUGAUCCAAGUCUGUUCCUACACACUAUUUAAAGUAGAUAACUACAAGUUAUCUCAUUUAAAUGGGAAAAGUAUUGUACUGUGAAAAAGUGUUGUGAGUUCAAAUAAAAAUACUAUGAAC